rnacentral:misc_RNA from 1 species
GAUGAAGAACGCAGCGAAAUGGGAUAAGUAAUGUGAAUUGCAGAGUUCAGUGAAUCAUCGAAUCUUUGAACGCACAUUGCGCCCGUCAGUAUUCUGACGGGCAUGCCUGUCCGAGCGUCAUUUCAACCCUCAAGCACUGCUUGGCGUUGGCGGAUUGCGUGCCCUCGCGGCGCUGCAACCGCCCAAAUACAGUGGCGGUCCCGCUGCGGCUCCCUUUGCGUAGUAACUCACCUCGCACUGGACCGGGCGGCGGCCUGCCGUAAAACCCCAACUCACGAAAUGUUGACCUCGGAUCAGGCAGGAAUACCCGCUGAACUUAAGCAUAUCAAUAAGCGGAGGA